CCUACGGGUGGCAGCAGUGAGGAAUAUUGGUCAAUGGCCGGAAGGCUGAACCAGCCAAGCCGCGUGAAGGACGAAGGUGCCAAGCAUUUUAAACUUCUUUUGCCAAGGAACAAAAUCAGGCUCGAGAGCCUGACCGAGGGUACUUGAAGAAAAAGCAUCGGCUAACUCCGUGCCAGCAGCCGCGGUAAUACGGAGGAUGCGAGCGUUACCCGGUUGUAUUGGGUUGAAGGGGUGCGUAGGCGGACUGUUAAGUCAGCGGGAAAAGCCCGGGGCUCAACCCCGGCGAGCCGUUGAAACUGGCUGUCUUGAGAUGUCGAGAGGUAUGCGGAAUGCGCAGUGUAGCGGUGAAAUGCUAAGAUAUUGCGCAGAACUCCGGUGGCGAAGGCAGCAUACCGGCGGCGAUCUGACGCUGAGGCACGAAAGCGUGGGUAUCGAACAGGAUUAGAUACCCGAGUAGUC
rnacentral:rRNA from 1 species